UACCAGCACCCCGAGUGGUCGGGACGAUUAUUGGGCCUAAAGCAUCCGUAGCCGGUUCUGCAAGUCUCCCGUUAAAUCCAACUGCUCAACAGGUGGGCUGCGGAGGAUACUACAGAGCUAGGAGGCAGGAGAGGCAAGCGGUACUCAGUGGGUAGGGGUAAAAUCCGUUGAUCCAUUGAAGACCACCAGUGGCGAAGGCGGCUUGCCAGAAUGCGCUCGACGGUGAGGGAUGAAAGCUGGGGGAGCAAACCGGAUUAGAAACCCUUGUAGUCC
rnacentral:rRNA from 1 species